CGUAGGUGGCAAGCGUUGUCCGGAUUUAUUGGGUUUAAAGGGUGCGUAGGCGGUCUAUUAAGUCAGUGGUGAAAUACUCUAGCUCAACUAGAGGGGUGCCAUUGAUACUGAUGGACUUGAGUACAGAUGAGGUAGGCGGAAUCGACGGUGUAGCGGUGAAAUGCUUAGAUAUCGUCAAGAACACCUAUAGCGAAGGCAGCUUACUAGGCUGUAACUGACGCUGAGGCACGAAAGUGUGGGGAUCAAACAGGAUUAGAUACCCUGGUAGUCCACACUGUAAACGUUGAUUACUCGCUGUGUGCGAUAUACAGUACGCGGCCAAGCGAAAGCGAUAAGUAAUCCACCUGGGGAGUACGCCGGCAACGGUG
rnacentral:rRNA from 1 species